GGCCCCGCGGCCUUUUCUGGGUGGGCGGCGAGGGCCUGACGGGGGCUGUGGUUUGACAGCGCCUCGGGGAGAAGGGCACGGUCCCCGCGGCGGUGACUGGGCUGUAACAGGGAGCCGGACGCUGCCCGGCCAUGUGGUCGGGGCCGGCUGCUGGCAAAGGGGCCGGGGCCCCCGCCCUUUCCAGGCUGCACUGUGCGCUUGGGGAGACCUUUGGGUGUCUGCGGGCAUGGACGAGGCGUUCCGGAGCUCGGGCUCAGGGGAUUCAGCCGCGGGGAAGCUGCAGAGAAGGCUGCCCGGCACUGCUCCCCAAAAUGGACCCUCCCCGAAUGGGGUCUCGCAGAGGAUGGAACAAUUGCAGCCACCGCGUCAUUCCUGUGAAAUUCGGGACUGCCUCCAUGCAGGAAACAGCACAGGGGACUGGCCGAGGGGCUCAGCCUGGGACACAGCCCCAGCAGGAGCAGCCCUGGGCAUGCUGGCACGGGAGGAUGAGCCCAGGUGAGGAGCACGGCCCCAGUGUGGCACCAAGAGAGGCUGGCACAGGAGGAUGAGCCCAGAGACAGAGGAGACGCUGCUGCACCACAUCCCCAGGAGAGCCCCUGCCUCCCUUCUGCUCUCAGGGGUGGGACUGGGAGCCACCUCCAUGCAGACAGAGAGGGGCACCUGGCCUGGCUUCACUCCCCGAGGGAAGAGGCUGCUCAGAGCUCCUGAUCAGGGACAUCCACGCCUGCACCUGGCUGGGAAUCCAGGGUGCACCAGUUCCAGAUCCAGCCGAGACGUUCCUGCUGCAGCUGCAGGUGAGCUCAGCUCUCCCUCAGGGAUGCCUGUGCCUGUUACAGCUCCAGCUGAUGGACACUGGACAAGAGCUGUUCCUGGUGCUCACAGCUCCUGCUGAUGGACCCCUGCUGACUUAUUGCUCAGGAUAUCUGAGGGCCCAGGUGAUGUCUGUUCCUUCUGCUUGUUUCACUUGCAGGUGUUACCCAGUCCAGCUUGCUGAACCUCCAGCUCUGGCUGUGGCAUGUUCUUCAUUCCAGCUCUGGAACUGAGAUGCUCCAGUUGAUGGCUGCUCCAGUUCCUUCCAGCUCUGGCUUAGCAACUGCUGUUUUUUGUUACAAGCCACUUAAAAGCUCCAGCUAAUUUCAGUUAUCUGGGCUUUUGGCCAAGUUGUACAUGACUCACUGUCAUCAAUUACAUAUAACUAUUAACUUGGUUAUAACUACUAACUCUUUCUUGUCAUAGUUAUUGUUUAAAUAGAAGUCAUAACUGUUGUAGUCGUUGUGCACAAUAAACAGUUGGACAUGGAAAA